rnacentral:lncRNA from 1 species
UGCAGGUUCCUUCGUCCAGGAUUUCCCUUUUGCCUGAGCAUUCCUAACCCUAACCCUUUAUUGAUUUUUCUUCUCCUAAACACACGUUUACUCCUUCUACUACAGGCGAGUAAGUCUCCAAAGGUCGAGCAUCCGGUAGAUUGCGUAGUAACGUCGUUCGUCCAAAACCCAAUCCAUAACCCCGUAGUUAGCCGAACUACGGCUUGCUCUGAUUCUCAUUCCAGAUGAGAUACGUAGGCAUAAGACGCGAUGUCUUAG